rnacentral:rRNA from 1 species
AUUGAACGCUGGCGGCAUGCUUUACACAUGCAAGUCGAACGGUUACAGGCCUUUUGCUCCUGACUUCUGCCGCACGCGUGUGUAUUUCAUCUUAACGUCUCCCUGGUUGUGGGAUAUCGCAUCUAAAUCUGUGCUCUUACCCCAUGUGAUCUCUGGAUGAAAUCGUGGGACCUCUUCGCACUUUUUGCCCUCGCGUCUUUCUAGCUCCCGAUGUCGGAUUAGUUAGUUGGUGGGGUAAAGGCCCACCAAUCCGACGAUCUGUAGCUGGUCUGAGAGGACGACCAGACACACUGGAACUGAGACACGGACCAGACUACUACGGGAGGCAGCAGUGGGGAAUAUUGGACAAUGGGCGAAAGCAUGAUCCAGCAAUGCCGCGUGAGGGAAGAAGGACUUCGGAUUGUAAAGCGCUUUAGUAAGGAAGGAAAAGGAUAAGGAUAAUACCUGGGGGUGAUGACGGUACCGAAAGAAUAAGCACCGGCUAACUACGUG